rnacentral:tRNA from 1 species
GGCGAGGUAGCUCAGUUGGUUAGAGCGCAGGAUUCAUAACCCUGAGGUCACGGGUUCAACUCCCGUUCUCGCUA